UACGUAGGGUGCGAGCGUUAAUCGGAAUUACUGGGCGUAAAGCAUGCGCAGGCGGCUUUGCAAGACAGAUGUGAAAUCCCCGGGCUCAACCUGGGAACUGCAUUUGUGACUGCAAGGCUAGAGUACGGCAGAGGGGGAUGGAAUUCCGCGUGUAGCAGUGAAAUGCGUAGAUAUGCGGAGGAACACCAAUGGCGAAGGCAAUCCCCUGGGCCUGUACUGACGCUCAUGCACGAAAGCGUGGGGAGCAAACAGG
rnacentral:rRNA from 1 species